rnacentral:rRNA from 1 species
ACGAAUCCCAUCUGGGUAACUGGAUGGGGGAAGUGGCGAAAGGGGCAGUAAGGCAUGGGUAACCUACCCUGGAGUUGGGCAUANCAUUCUAACGAAUGGGUAAUUCCCGAUAGCCUAGCGAGGGGACAUCUUCUUGCUAGUAAAGAAUCUCGCUCUGGGAGGGGCCCAUGUGCUAUUAGCUAGUUGGCGGGGUAACGGCCCACCAAGGCUAAGAUGGCUAGCGGGUGUGAGAGCACGACCCGCGCCACUGGCACUGAGACACUGGCCAGACACCUACGGGUGGCUGCAGUCGAGGAUCUUCGUCAAUGGGCGAAAGCCUGAACGAGCGACGCCGCGUGCGCGAUGAAGGCCUUCGGGUUGUAAAGCGCGAAAGAUGGGACGAAAGCCGAAAGGUUUGACCGAUCAUCAGUAAGCUCGGGCUAAGUUCGUGCCAGCAGCCGCGGUAAGACGAACCGAGCAAACGUUAUUCGGAAUCACUGGGCUUAAAGGGCGCGUAGGCGGGCAUCAUAGUCUGUGGUGAAAUCCGGCAGCUUAACUGUCGAACUGCCAUGGAUACUGGGUGUCUCGAGGAAGGUAGGGGCAUGCGGAACUAUUGGUGGAGCGGUGAAAUGCGUUGAUAUCAAUAGGAACUCCGGUGGCGAAGGCGGCAUGCUGGACCUUUUCUGACGCUGAGGCGCGAAAGCCAGGGGAGCAAACGGGAUUAGAUACCCCGGUAGUCCUGGCCCUAAACGUUGGGUACUAGAUAGUAGACUUCACAUGGGUUUACUGUCGAAGCAAAAGUGCUAAGUACCCCGCCUGGGGAGUAUGGUCGCAAGGCUGAAACUCAAAGGAAUUGACGGAUCGA